CUUCCAGUAGCACCUUAGAGACCAACUAAGUUUGUUAUUGGUAUGAGCUUUCAUGUGCAUGCACACUUCUUCAGAUACACUCAUACCAAUAACAAACUUAGUUGGUCUCUAAGGUGCUACUGGAAG